rnacentral:tmRNA from 1 species
GGGGCCGAUCCGGAUUCGACGUGGGUCGCGAAACAGUCAGGGCAUGCCGAGCACCAGUAAGCUCGUAAAUCCACUGGACAACACAUAAACGCCAACGACGACGUUUACGCUCAACAGCCGGCCCUGCUGGCUGCUUAAUUGAGCCGCUGCACUGAUUUGUCUUUGGGUCAGGUGGAGGGGGGCAACUCCCUAGAGGGCAACCUCGAACCACAGCAGUGUCAUUGAACAAAGAAUCGACGUAUUCCGGGGUCGCACGGGGUACGUCUAAAUUACGCGACUCGCCUCGGUCCGGCCUGUCGGUUGGCUAAGUCUCGGGGUUAAAUCCAAAUAGAUCGACUAUGCAUGUAGAUCUGCCUGCGGAGGGCUUGCGGACGGGGGUUCAAUUCCCCCCGGCUCCACCA